rnacentral:lncRNA from 1 species
CCUGCGUCACCUCCAAAGCCCUCCACCAGACUCUGCGCUUCCACAACUCAAAAAAAUUCCUUUUAAAUAGUUUUUUUUUUUUUUUUUUAAAGUAAGUAUAAGAUACAUUUGAGGAAAUGUGUCAAAUGUGCAUACAGUGGCGCUCUCUAGCUGCGGGUUCUGCAACUAUGGAUUCAGCUACGGAGGAUCAAGAAGAUUCUAGAACAAUUGUGUCUGUGCGUUUCUUCUGUGCAGGGCUGGGAUGGACCCUGGUGGUGGCACAGGCUGAAUGAGUGCUCUGAGCUCCCCCCAGCCCAACAUACAUGUUUGUCCUUGUCCCUCAACAAUAUAGAAACAAGAGGAUACACAGCACUUACACUGCAUCAGGAGCCAGGAGUCAUCGAGAGACAGUUUAAGGCCUGUGGGGGGGUGUUUGUGGAUGAGGAACCUGAGCCUUCCUCAGAUUUAGGGAUCCCUGGGGGCCCUGGAGCAAAUCCCCUGUGGAUACCAAGUGACAAGCUUAUUAUAAUCCUCACACAACCCUGCGAGGCAGAUGCUACCAUCGUGCCCAUUUUCCAGAUGAGGAAACUAAGGUACAGAGAGGUGAAGCACUUGCCCCAGGUCACACAGCUGGGGUUGGCAGAGCUGAGACUGGGACCUGGAUGGUUUGACUCUGAGAUUAACUAUUGAGCCUUACAGCCUCUCAGUCCAAGUGUUGUGACGGCCGCUGACUGGGAUCCCAACUUCCUGAUCUUCACGUCCUUGUGAAACCUCCUCCUUUGGAAUGUGCAUUAGAUCCAAGGAUUCUCUUAUGACAAUUAGAAUGUGACCUAGAGAUGGGAUGUCACUUCCUGUUUAGGACAUAAAAGGGCUGCGGCUACGUCUUGCUCCUCCCUCAUGCUCUCUGACACUUGCUGACUCUGCGGAAGCCACCUGCCAGACUGCAGUUGUCCCCUGGAAAGGCCCACGUGACAAGGGCCUGACACAACUUGUGGCCAAGAGCCUGUGAGGACCAUAUCCCACCAACACCCAGGGGGCGAGCUUGGGUCCUUCCACACCUGAGCUCUCAAAUGAGACCAAAACUCUGACUGCUAUCGUGAUGGUGGCCUCACAAGAGACCUUGGGGACAACGCACCCAGCCAAGCCACACCAGAAGCGACUAAAUAACCAGCAUUGGUUGUUUAAAGCGCUAAGCUUUGGGCUGUUUAGACACAGCAUGGACCAGGCGAGACCAAGGGCAGACCCUCCUUGGCUUAGAUGGGGCGGCCUUCCAGUAAACCCGGCUGAGUAGGAAAUGUCACAAGCUGGGAACACGACCAACCCGCCUAACCCACCCACUACCAGCGAAGCUGCCCAGGGCGCUGUGGACUCAGUUGUUUCCCCUGCUGGAUUUUGGGGGGGCUGACCAGAGCUGCACUCUCUGCUGCUGCCCCACCUCGAAAGUGAAUCAUUCCCGUGUCGCUGGCCCCAGGGGAGAAGCAAAAUUCAAAUUUCAAAGCGUGAUUUCUCCUGGACGGUGUGGCUCCUGCACCACCCCAAGGUCAAGCCACUGUGGUGGAGCCCCUGUGGGUCAGGACCGCUGUGAGGCCCUGGCCUGUUUCCCCUCCAACCCGGAGGCCAGUCCCAUGAUGGUUCGGUGCCUCUUCAGGGUCAGAACGUCCACAGACCAUUAAUGUACAAGCCCCAUCCUAC